AGAAAAAUAAAGAGUGUAAGAGGAAAGAGGCAACAGAAAGCCGGUAUAAUAAUGGCUGCAACAUAAAAGGUUGGCGUGUGUAGCCUAUUGGUGUGGGUACAUUUGAUUCAUGUUUGAGUUUCCAGAGAGCUGAGUUUUGGGACUUCUUAAGAGUCAAAGCAUUUCAGAGGAUAUACAUCUCUGCAAAGGAGGCCGAUUGCUACCAAAUAUACAUUAGCCUACAAGAGAAGAGGCGCUUUCAGAAUUUCAGUGUUUUGUUUCCUUUUUAUUUCUUGUUAUGGACAAAAACAAUAGAGGCCUGAUCAAUUUGGCUGCAGAGACGAGAGGCUGAUGGAAACAUUUUGUGACCUAGAUCAAAUUUUGUCACAGGAUGCUGGCAACAUUUGUGACGUUCAAAAAGGCCGAGCUGGAAGAGACCCCCCCCCCAACUUCUUCAUAUGAAUCUGCCAGCCAACCCCCCAGAUUACUGCCUUCUUCCUUUUCCUCAGGUUACCAAAUCCCUCCUUCCUUUUCACUUUGCUAUUUCUGAAAGUCAUCAAGAAGGCUAGCAAAGAGGAAAAAGGUGGAGGCGGCACCAGGAAGAAAAAGGCUGGAAGAGACAGCUGGUAUAAAGACCGAAGGAAUGGCUUUGAAGGACAGGACAAAAAGCCUGCUACCAAGACAAUGGCCAAAUCAACAGUCCUGGCCAAGAAAUUAAUUUACGAAGAUUUCGGAGAAGUAAGUCCUUCCCUAGCUCACGUGAGGAGAGGGGAAACACAUUCAGACUUGCAAGAGUCUGUCACUACAGCAAUUACAAUAAAAAUCCUGUAUGUCA